UACAGAGACCUCAAGCGUUAUCCGGAAUCAUUGGGCGUAAAGCGUACCGAUAGGUGGUUUACUAAGUUUUGGGUAAAAGCCAGAAGCUCAACUUCUGCGUUUGCUCAAGAUACUGGUAGACUAGAGGGACAAAGAGGUGGCUGGAACGAAUGGUGUAGUAGUGAAAUGCGUUGAUAUCAUUCGGAACACCGAAAGCGAAGGCAGGCCACUGGGUGUCACCUGACACUGCUAGGACGAAAGCGUGGGGAGCGAAUGGG
rnacentral:rRNA from 1 species